UCUGACGCGUCGCUGACCAGCACAAGACGAACGAUUGUGGUUAAAAAGUAUAUAAAUGUAUAUUUUAUUUUUUAAAUGUCCGAUGGUUUCGCUAGAUAAGCCCCUGUUCCUCAGCUGGGGUCGUGGAGCUGAAGCUGAAGCUCUUCAGAGCCGUGCGAAACUGCAUCGAUUUGGACUACAACAUGUUGGUUGCAAUUGAAGUUCAAAAUUGUGUGGAAAAAUCCUCAAAUGUGGAUAAUGUCUUUUCCACUGAAGAAAGAUAGAAAGACAUGGGGCUUGAGACGUAAUAAUUAUGCGAAGCACUUCAAAGAGCGUUCCAGGUGCUCGUGACAAGCCCAAACACAGUUCCUCCAGAGAACCUCACAGACACAGCUUCAACAUAUGAUCAGAUUCAUCCAGAUGCAGUAAAUCCCACACUUGUAAGAGCUUCAGGUCAUCAGCUUCACCCACUACAUGAAGAAUCCCCUGCUCCACCUCCAUCGUCUCCUUCGUCAUGUGCUACUUCAGGUUUUCUCUCUCCUGAAGCGUGAAGUGAGUUGUUUGACGCGACACCGUCAAUCUAGACGUCAUGGAUUGAGUUUCAGAGAGAAGACGUCUCAAACUCCCCCACUAACCCAAAACACUUCCAGCCCUUCCGUCACUCAACUCCAUGACAUCUGGAAUUUCAACAAGACGAGAGAGAGAGAGAGAGAGAGAGAGAGAGAGAGACUGCAGACUUUAAUCUUAGACUGGAAUCAAACUAGCAGGAAAAGCAAACAGAAGUGAAAAGAACAGCAGAGAAAUAAAGAGGCUUUGCUCUUAAACAUGAAACAUUUGCCGUGGAUCAGCGCUUUGUCAUUCCUGCUUUAUUUUUCCUUGGGAACUGCAGAUUACAGGUAAGAACCUUCUCCUGGAUAAAGUUGUGGAGAAAAUGCUAUUGCUCUUGGUUUCAUUGGAGUUUCAGCCAGUUUAUAUCCAGAUCUGGUUGCAGACUUCAGAUUCUCGUGUAAGAUUACUGAGAAACUAAUGAGAUCUGCUUCGGUAGACACUUAACAUACCCGCAGUUCCCAUAAUUAGUAAUUAAUGCGCAUAAACAUUUGUGACCAAUGCAGCUUUUUAGAUCAAGAUCAAUUUUUAAUCCUUUUUAACCAUAUUAAUUCUAUUUAUCUUGACAAUUCAUGAAUUUCAGUAAAA